GCACUGGCCAUAGCGCUGCUGCCAUGAUCCGCAGGUUCUCCCAGCGUGAGGCCUGCCUGUCCACUGCACUCCAAGCAGGCUGACCCCUGCAAGUUUCCCAAAGUGGGAAACUCCACUGCACAAUUUUGUGGCAACAGGGGACUGCGUGUGUGCUUUCCCUCA
rnacentral:snRNA from 14 species